rfam:Pteropus vampyrus cont1.175983, whole genome shotgun sequence.
AAAAGGAGACAUAAAAUUCAACUCUUGGUAGCCAUUCUUUCCCUUUUCGCUCUCCACAUACCUCAGCUGGGAAUCUAUAAAUGUGCAGUACUUGUUUGUUAUACUGGUCAUUAUUAAGUUAUCUAGGAGGCUAGGAGAGCAAUCUGUUCUGACUGUAGUGACAAAAGGAAUUCAAGUCACACCAAAUAUCUUUAUCCUGUUUAGAAACAUCCUAGCAUUUAAGGCCUCUUAAUUUAAGCCCAUUACAAGUUAUUUUCCUUUCUAUUUCAUUUUUCUCUACUCUCUUAUGUUCUGUGUUCUAU